rnacentral:rRNA from 1 species
UACAGAGGGGGCAAGCGUUGUUCGGAAUUACUGGGCGUAAAGGGCGCGUAGGCGGCCGCCUAAGUCAGACGUGAAAUCCCUCGGCUUAACCGGGGAACUGCGUCUGAUACUGGAUGGCUUGAGAUUGGGAGAGGGAUGCGGAAUUCCAGGUGUAGCGGUGAAAUGCGUAGAUAUCUGGAGGAACACCGGUGGCGAAGGCGGCAUCCUGGACCAACACUGACGCUGAGGAGCGAAAGCCAGGGGAGCAAACGGG